rnacentral:rRNA from 1 species
UUGUAUAAUGGGUCAGUGACUUAAUUUAUUAAGCAAGCUUAAGCCAUCUAGGUGUAGGCGCAGCGAAAGCAAGUCUUAAUAGGGCGAUUAGUUUAAUGAAUUAGACCCGAAAACGAAUGAGCUUACCAUGAGCAGGUUGAAUGCAAGGUAACACUUGCUGGAGGACCGAACCAGUUGACGUUGAAAAGUCUUUGGAUGACUUGUGGUAAGGGGUGAAAGGCCAACCAAAUUCGUAGAUAGCUGGUUUUCCGCGAAAACUAUUUAGGUAGUGCGUUGAAUAAAUAUGCGUUUAGAGGUAGAGCACUAAAUGGGCUAGGGGGAAGAGAUUCUUACCAAACCUAAUAAAACUCCGAAUGCUGAACGUAGUUCUUCAACAGACAGACUGUGGGUGCUAAGGUCCAUGGUCGAGAGGGAAAGAGCCCAGACCACCAGAUAAGGUCCCCAAAUUAUGAUUAAGUGUGAAAGGAUGUGGAAAUUCCUUAACAGCCGGGAGGUUGGCUUAGAAGCAGCCAUCCUUUAAAGAUAGCGUAACAGCUCACCGGUCUAAUAGAGUUUCUGCGCCGAAGAUGUAACGGGGCUAAAAUCACAUACCGAAUCUGUGGGUUUAUAAAACUUUCGAGUUUUAUAAGCGGUAGCGGAACGUUCUGUAAGCCUGUGAAGGGAUACCCGUGAGGGAUCCUGGAGGUAUCAGAAGUGCGAAUGCUGACAUAAGUAACGAUAAACGAAGUGAAAAACUUCGUCGCCGAAAAUCCAAGGGUUUCUGCGCAAGGUUAAUCCGCGCAGAGUUAGUCGGCACCUAAGGCGAGGGCGAAAGCCGUAGUCGAUGGAAAUAAGGUUAAUAUUCCUUAACCAGAUGGAAGUGACGGAUUUUGUAAGUUGUGAGUUCUUAAUGGAUUGAACUUGCCGCGAAAAAGUCCCAGGAAAUAGCUCCAUCAUAAGACCGUACCCUAAACCGACACAGGUGGAUUAAUAGAGUAUAUUUAGGCGCUUGAGAGAAUGAUGUUGAAGGAACUCGGCAAAAUGCUUCUGUAACUUCGGGAUAAAGAAGACCUUUUUAUAGGCAACUAUUUAAAGGUGGCACAAGCCAGGGAGAAGCGACUGUUUAUCAAAAACACAGGGCUCUGCUAACACGUAAGUGGAUGUAUAGGGUCUGACGCCUGCCCGGUGCUGGAAGGUUAAUGCGAUGGGUGCAAGCUCAUUUCUGAAGCCCCAGUAAACGGCGGCCGUAACUAUAACGGUCCUAAGGUAGCGAAAUUCCUUGUCGGGUAAGUUCCGACCUGCAUGAAUGGCGUAACGAUUUCUCCGCUGUCUCCAACAUCAACUCAGUGAAAUUGAAUUCUCCGUGAAGAUGCGGAG